rnacentral:lncRNA from 1 species
CUUAGACAUGUGGAGCACGGGGUAAGGCAGGAGGCCAAGGCCCACUGUGAGAAGGUCAGGCGGCUCUUGGAGAACCUGCUCGGGGACUUUCUUCUUUGUGCUUCCUGGGCCUCCAGCGAGCCUAAGGGCCCAGAUUUCUGCUGAGAUUCAACAGUAGGAGCAGAGAGUCAGAGUCAGAGUCCCUCAGGCCCACCGUGUUUCAUUGGACACCGGCCCGGCCCCUCCUGCGGGCCAGCACCCCUUCCUCGUCACUGCGUCCCGAACUGGAGCACUUGGUCCCCACAUCAGAAGAGGAAGGGGACCCCUGAGCCCCGGGGGCCUGUGGGCCCAGGACAGAGCUGGGGCUCUUUAACGGCCUGGAACCCAGCCGGUCCCGGUGAGGAAUCCGGAGAUGCCAGCAGGGCCUGGGAACCGGAGCAGUCUUCCCUGUUCCCCACUUCCCAGCAUGUUUGGAAAUGUGGCCUAAAAACGUGCUGGCUGUUUCCAGUCACGAGCCCCGAGUCUGCAGAGCACAGACAGGCUCACCUUUACAAGAAUUGAAAUCAAACCUUGCUGGGAAUAACAGCAAAACCAGCAAAUUAACUGUGGAAACGAAGCCUGUGCUAGUGGGGAAAGAAGCUAAAGGCCACGCUCGGCAGCUGUUCCAGUCUGGUGUGCAAAAGUGUAUUUGUUCAGCAGCUGCAUGUGUGGCCCGAGAGUGGCCCGGGUUAAGCUGGCGUCCGACCCUGAAGUCCCUAACCUGCACACACUUCCAUGCAAAUGCCGCCUAAACACGCAGCGUGUGCAAAUGUAUGCAAAUUGUGUUUGGACUACAGUUGCAGUGCGUAGUACAGAAAGAAUAUCAGGCUUGUUCAUAACUCCAGGUUCCAACUAUAGAGGAAAGUCCUCAUUGUAAGGUGAGGGAUGGGGGAGCCUAUACGUGGGA